GACGAACGCUGGCGGCGUGCUUAACACAUGCAAGUCGAACGGAAAGGCCUGCUUUCCCUUGUGGAUUGCGGGUACUCGAGUGGCGAACGGGUGAGUAACACGUGAGUGAUCUGCCCCCAACUUGGGUAUAAGCCUGGGAAACUGGGUCUAAUUCCCGAUAGGACUGCAGGGUGGUGCCGGUGGUGGAAAACGAUUUUCUAGUGGUUGGGGAUGAGCUCGCGGCCUAUCAGCUUGUUGGUGGGGUAAUGGCCUACCAAGGCGGCGACGGGUAGCCGGCCUGAGAGGGUGGACGGCCACAUUGGGACUGAGAUACGGCCCAGACUCCUACGGGAGGCAGCAGUGGGGAAGAUUGCACAAUGGGCGGAAGCCUGAUGCAGCGACGCCGCGUGGGGGAUGACGGCCUUCGGGUUGUAAACUCCUUUCGACCGCGAGGAAGCCACCUGGUUGGAAGGGUGGUGACGGUAGUGGUAGAAGAAGCACCGGCUAACUACGUG
rnacentral:rRNA from 1 species